AGUGAACGCUGGCGGUAGGCCUAACACAUGCAAGUCGAACGGCAGCACAGGAGAGCUUGCUCUCUGGGUGGCGAGUGGCGGACGGGGGAGGAAUACAUCGGAAUCUACUCUGUCGUGGGGGAUAACGUAGGGAAACUUACGCUAAUACCGCAUACGACCUACGGGUGAAAGCAGGGGACCUUCGGGCCUUGCGCGAUUGAAUGAGCCGAUGUCGGAUUAGCUAGUUGGCGGGGUAAAGGCCCACCAAGGCGACGAUCCGUAGCUGGUUGGAGAGGAUGAUCAGCCACACUGGAACGGAGACACGGUCCAGACUCCUACGGGAGGCAGCAGUGGGGAAUAUUGGACAAUGGGCGCAAGCCUGAUCCAGCCAUACCGCGUGGGUGAAGAAGGCCUUCGGGUUGUAAAGCCCUUUUGUUGGGAAAGAAAUCCAGCUGGCUAAUACCCGGUUGGGAUGACGGUACCCAAAGAAUAAGCACCGGCUAACUUCGUGCCAGCCGCCGCCGUAA
rnacentral:rRNA from 1 species